AACGAACGCUGGCGGCGUGGAUAAGACAUGCAAGUCGAACGGAAUUACUUUUGUAGCAAUACAGAAGUAAUUCAGUGGCGAACGGGCGCGUAACACGUGGGCAAUCUGCCGAGAAGUGGGGGAUAGCUCGCCGAAAAGGCGAAUUAAUACCGCAUGUGGUGAGGGAAGACAUCUUCCUGAAUCCAAAGCCGGGGUAACCUGGCGCUUUUUGAGGAGCCCGCGGCCUAUCAGCUUGGGUGAGGUAACGGCUCACCAAGGCUUUGACGGGUAGCUGGUCUGAGAGGACGACCAGUCACACUGGAACUGAGACACGGUCCNGAAAACCCUACGGUGGCAGCAGUCGAGAAUUUUUCUACAAUGGGGGAAACCCUGAAGGAGCGACGCCGCGUGGAGGAUGAA
rnacentral:rRNA from 1 species